GUCUCAAAUCGGGCAGGAAUACCCGCUGAACUUAAGCAUAUCACUAAGCGGAGGAAAAGAAACUAACCAGGAUUCCCCUAGUAGCGGCGAGCGAAGCGGGAGAAGCUCAAGAUUUGAAUCUAUGGGCAUUGCCCAUAGAGCUGUAGUCUAGAGGGGCGCGAUCAGGAGGCGUCUUUUGACCCAAGUCUCCUGGAAUGGAGCACUAUAGAGGGUGAAAGUCCCGUGUUUGGUCAGAAUGUGCGCCUUCCCUGCGAUGCGCCCUGGUCGAGUCGAGUUGUUUGGGAGUGCAGCUCAAAUAGGGUGGUAUACUUCAUCCAAAGCUAAAUAUGGACAGGAGACCGAUAGCGAACAAGUACCGUGAGGGAAAGAUGAAAAGAACUUUGGAAAGAGGGUGAAAUAGUGCUUGAAACCGCUGGGAGGAAAGCGAAUGGAGUUACUGCAAGCCUAGGGCAUCUCAAGCCGGCGUUUUGGUUGGUUCCGGUGUAGAGACUCUGGUGCUGCGCCCGUGGCGACUUUCUAUUCUUGUGGGAAGAAGUGGUUUGUUAGACCAGAAAUGUUUUUCUUUUCUUGUUUUGGAGAAAAAGUGAAGCUUUAUGGUCUUACCAUUUUUUUUCGUUGUCCAAAGAAUGAAGGCGCUGAUCAGUGAAAAAAAGAUUCGGAGAAUCCAGGUAAUGGAUUUUUAGAAUCUAGAAAAACGGGCGGAAGGGCUUUAUUCGACCCGUCUUGUAACACGGACCAAGGAGUCCAGCAUGUACGCGAGUGCAUGGGCUUGUAUACCCACGCGCGCAGUGAAAGUAAAGGCAAUUCAGAAUAAAAUGCCACGGUGGGAACACAAUACGUUGCGCACCAUCAUCCGACCGGUCUACUGUAUUUGGUUACCGGCUCGCGAUUGAGCGUAUAUGCUGGGACCCGAAAGAUGGUGAACUAUGCCUGAGUAGGAUGAAGCCAGAGGAAACUCUGGUG
rnacentral:rRNA from 1 species